AGAGUUUGAUCCUGGCUCAGGACGAACGCUGGCGGCGUGCCUAAUACAUGCAAGUAGAACGCUGAAGGAAGGAGCUUGCUCUUUCCGGAUGAGUUGCGAACGGGUGAGUAACGCGUAGGUAACCUACCUUUUAGCGGGGGAUAACUAUUGGAAACGAUAGCUAAUACCGCAUAAGACAUUUUACUGCAUGGUAAGAUGUUAAAAGAUGCAAUUGCAUCACUAAGAGAUGGACCUGCGUUGUAUUAGCUAGCAGGUGAGGUAACGGCUCACCUAGGCGACGAUACAUAGCCGACCUGAGAGGGUGAUCGGCCACACUGGGACUGAGACACGGCCCAGACUCCUACGGGAGGCAGCAGUAGGGAAUCUUCGGCAAUGGACGAAAGUCUGACCGAGCAACGCCGCGUGAGUGAAGAAGGUUUUCGGAUCGUAAAGCUCUGUUGUAAGAGAAGAACGAGUGUGAGAGUGGAAAAUUCACACUGUGACGGUAUCUUACCAGAAAGGGACGGCUAACUACGUGCCAGCAGCCGCGGUAAUACGUAGGUCCCGAGCGUUGUCCGGAUUUAUUGGGCGUAAAGCGAGCGCAGGCGGUUAGAUAAGUCUGAAGUUAAAGGCUGUGGCUUAACCAUAGUACGCUUUGGAAACUGUUUAACUUGAGUGCAGAAGGGGAGAGUGGAAUUCCAUGUGUAGCGGUGAAAUGCGUAGAUAUAUGGAGGAACACCGGUGGCGAAAGCGGCUCUCUGGUCUGUAACUGACGCUGAGGCUCGAAAGCGUGGGGAGCAAACAGGAUUAGAUACCUGGUAGUCCACGCCGUAAACGAUGAGUGCUAGGUGUUGGGUCCUUUCCGGGACUCAGUGCCGCAGCUAACGCAUUAAGC
rnacentral:rRNA from 1 species